GGAGAGAUGACAGAGUGGUUGAAUGUACCGCAUUCGAAAUGCGGAGUACCUAACGGUAUCGGGGGUUCGAAUCCCCCUCUCUCCUCCA
rnacentral:tRNA from 1 species